rnacentral:misc_RNA from 1 species
GAGAUUUUUUAAGGGUUAAGUAUAGAGAUUUUGUUUAUUUCACCAGCUAUAAAAAGAUAAUCUACUAAUAUUUCAGACAUGUUUUGCUUCAAGCUUUCGUAAUUAAUAAAUCGAAAAUAUAAAAUAAAAUCUAUUUUAUUAAACUUCUUUCGUUUAUAUGAAAGAGCUUUUUCUUGAAAAUGUACAUAUUUUAUUACACGAGUUUCACGCGAAAUAUUUCAUAAAAUUCUUCAUAUCAUAAAGUAUAUUGUAUUUCCCUCAAUAUUUAGUUCUUUACAUUAAAUGUCUUAUUCAUGACAAAGUAUUUCAUAUUUCGAUUUCAGAUAUCUUAUCUGAUACGGUUAACAUCUUUCAGGGCAAGAAUGUUACAACUAUUAUAUAAUUUGAAGGCAGUUUAUCUAUUAAUACCCAUAUUAACAAAUGCUACUGCAUUCAUUUACGUCGAUUUUGAAGAGGUCAAGUUUUCUUGCUUUUAUUCACACUGUCUUUGUACAAACAUUACACUAAUAAUACAAUUUAAUAUUAAUUUUGCAAGAAAUAUACAUAAUAAUAUACAUAAUAACA